CCCUUAGAUGUCCUGGGCCGCACGCGCGCUACACUGACAUGUUCAACAAGUUUCCCCUAGUUCGACAGGACUGGGAAAUCUUUGAACGCAUGUCGUGAUAGGGAUAGAUCAUUGCAAUUAUUGAUCUUGAACGAGGAAUUCCUAGUAAACGCGAGUCAUCAGCUCGCAUUGAUUACGUCCCUGCCCUUUGUACACACCGCCCGUCGCACCUACCGAUUGAAUGUUUCGGUGAAGAUUCCGGAUAGGACUGAUUUGAUUUAUUUCAUUUCUGACCUAAAAGCUAUCUAAACCUCAACAUUUAGAGGAAGGUGAAGUCGUAACA
rnacentral:rRNA from 1 species